AUGCGCUCCGCCUCCGCCAUCGUGUGCAAGGAAGUGAGCGGUUCCCACGUACUCAGGAUCCACGGCUACUCGCGCCUGAAGCACAUGAUGCACGGGAAGUACGUCCGCUCCUGCGACUUCCACGCCGGCGGCCACAUCUGGCGUCUCCUGUAUUACCCCAACGGCAGCCAGCCCCAGUUCCAAGAUCACAUCGCCGCGUACCUCCAGCUAGCAUCCAGAGAUCCCAGCGACGAGUAG
rnacentral:rRNA from 1 species